rnacentral:rRNA from 1 species
UACGUAGGGUGCAAGCGUUUGUCCGGAAUUAUUGGGCGUAAAGAGCUCGUAGGCGGUUUGUUGCGUCGGCUGUGAAAUCCCGAGGCUCAACCUCGGGUCUGCAGUCGAUACGAGCAAACUAGAGUGUUGCAGGGGAGACUGGAAUUCCUGGUGAUAGCGGUGAAAUGCGCAGAUAUCAGGAGGAACACCGGUGGCGAAGGCGGGUCUCUGGGCCGAUACUGACGUGGAGGAGCGAAAGCGUGGGGGAGCGAACAGG